rnacentral:rRNA from 1 species
UACGUAGGGCGCAAGCGUUAUCCGGAAUUAUUGGGCGUAAAGGGCUCGUAGGCGGUUUGUCGCGUCUGCCGUGAAAGUCCGGGGCUCAACUCCGGAUCUGCGGUGGGUACGGGCAGACUAGAGUGAUGUAGGGGAGACUGGAAUUCCUGGUGUAGCGGUGAAAUGCGCAGAUAUCAGGAGGAACACCGGUGGCGAAGGCGGGUCUCUGGGCAGUAACUGACGCUGAGGAGCGAAAGCGUGGGGAGCGAACAGG